UUUUGAAUUGACCGAGAAAGAAAAAUCUAGGUUCACUUGGAGAAUACUAUUUUUGCAUUAGAUGAAGAAAUUAUUCCAGCACUGGCUAAAUAGCAUGAACGUGUUAUAGUAAAACAUAAAGAGAGUAGAGGAUGCGAUGCCUAUGAAACAAGUGUGCGUUUGGUGCUUGUGCUUGCUGUUGCUUGAGAAUGUGAGAUGCCUUGUGUCUUCUACUUUAUCACAACGAUGCCUGUUUCCAGAAAAGAAAUAAGAAUCAAAUAAAGGAAAACUCCACCAGCAGCUACCAGAAUCAAAUAAAGGAAAGGAAUACUCCACCCACAGCUAACGGCUGAUCCCUACCUCUCCUCCCACGCCUCCUCCCUAUCCGCGCCUACAUAUACCCUCUCCAUGCAACCAGCUCUGGCAAAACAAUAUACAGAAAAGGAACUCCCAUCGAAUUCCGUUGCAGCUCGAUCGUCAUCGUCUUCGCAGCUGGGAGCCGCGCCGGUUUCGCAUUCCUGGGGUUGCGAUGGACUUCGCCGUGGACGCUGCGCUGUGGGCGGUGGGCAAGGCGCUCGCCCCCGUCAAGGACGGCCUGUUGGAGUCAUGGGCAGCCAGCACUGAGCUUGGCCGCAACAUCGAUGCCCUCAAGAUGCAGCUGCUCUAUGCGCAAGGGAUGCUCGACAGUGCACAAGGCAAGGACAUCCGCAGCACCGCACUCAAGGAGCUUCUGCACAAGCUGCGGGAGCUGGCGUACAACACCGACGACGUGCUCGACGAGCUGGAGUACUUCCGCAUCCAGGACGCACUCGAUGACACAUACCAUGCCGCUGCUGACGUGAGUACGCAGGGCGGCUUCAUCGGCGGGCUCGUCCUCAAUGCUCGUCACACCGCCUACGCCGUUGGUAAACAUUUUUCAUGUCACUCUGCCCCGUCCGUCCAGGAUGACAACGCUCAUACCGUCAUGUUGGAAGAGGAAUCUCCCAAUACGGCAGGAAGUGGACGGCGAUUCUUCUGUGGUGCCUGGUCGUCCAAGGCACGGCAGAGAAACCAAGCCGUGCAAACACCAAAAUUAAAGUUUGAUAGGGUGGAAAUGUCCAGAAAGAUGGUGGAAAUAGUAGACCAGCUGAAACCUCUCUGUGCUAUGGUCUCCACCAUUCUAAAUCUAUUGGGCUCCAACCGCACCACUAGCAAAGACAUUACUAUGAACAGACCAAAAACCACCCAAGAAAUUGUGGAGCCUGAGUUCUAUGGGAGAGAUGACCAGAAAAAGGAAAUUGUAGAUUUUAUUACACAUGGGGAAUAUUGCAAAGAUGAAUUGACCGUAGUGCCACUUGUUGGUCCAGGUGGUAUUGGUAAGACAACUCUCACACAACACAUAUAUGGAGAACUAGAGGGCUCUUUCCAAGUCUCAGUUUGGGUAUGCGUUUCCCUGGAUUUUAAUGCAAAUAGGUUGGCACAAGAGAUUGCGAAAAAGAUCCCUAAGAUUAAUGAUGAAAAGCAAAAUGCUAGUGACAUGGAGCUAAUUCAACAAAGAUUAAAAUCUAAGAGGCUCUUACUGGUUUUAGACGAUAUGUGGACAUACAACGAGGAUGAGUGGAAAAAACUAUUAGCUCCACUAAAACAUAAAGGGGGAGAAAAAGGUAACGUGAUUAUAGUCACAACUCGAAUCCCAGAGGUAGCAAGCAUGGUCAGGACGACUAAUUCUUCAAUUAGAAAUGUGGAACAACUAGGUUAUAAAGAUAUUAUGUCUUUUUUUGAGGCAUGUGUAUUUGGUGACCAACAACCAUGGAAAGACCAUCCUGAAUUAUCCAAUAUUGCGAGCAAAAUAGUGACCAAUUUGAAGGGUUUCCCUCUUGCGGCAAAAACUGUAGGUAGAUUACUAAGAAAAAAAAUGACACUAGACCAUUGGAGAACAAUUGCCGGUAGUAGAGAAUGGGAAUUACAAACUGAGCCUAAUAAUAUCAUGCCAGCUCUAAAGCUUAGCUAUGACUAUCUCCCUUUUCAUCUACAACAAUGUUUUUCUUAUUGUGCAUUGUUUCCAGAAGAUUAUGAAUUUGGUCAGAAAGGGUUGGUUCACUUCUGGAUAGGACUAGGUCUUUUGCAUUCUUCUGAUUAGAAGAAAAGAAUCGAAGAUGUGGGACUGCACUAUUUAGACGACUUGGUUAAUUAUGGGUUUUUCAAAAAGAACGAGAAGGAAGAUGGUCAACAUUAUGUUAUUCAUGACCUAUUGCAUGAGUUAGCGGUGAAGGUUUCAUCAGAUGAAUGUCUUACCAUAUGUAGUUCUAACGUGAGGUCCAUACAAAUUCCUGCAUCCAUACGCCACUUGUCCAUCAUUGUAGAUAAUACUGAUGUUGGGGAUAUAUCGAAUUUUCAAGACUAUAAAAGUGACUUGAGUGCACUUGGUGAAAGAUUGAGAGUUCGAAACAUACGUACUUUGAUGUUAUUUGGAGAAUACCAUGGAAGCUUUGCCAAGAUGUUUAGGAAUCUGUUUAGGGAAGCUGGAGCCAUUCGCACUAUUUUUCUGUCUGGAGCAUCAUAUUCUCUGGAGGAUAUGUUGCCAAACUUUUCAAAACUUGUCCAUCUACGCUACGUAAGGAUCAAGUCAGGGCGUAAUCAAUACAUGUGCUUACCUAGUGCAUUGUUAAGAUCCUAUCAUCUAGAGGUAAUUGAUCUAGAAAAAUGGGGUGGCAGCUUUGGUUCAAUGAGGGAUGCGAGCAACCUUGUAAAACUGCAUCAUUUUCAUGUGCCAGGAGAUAGUCGUGAACUGUACUCUAGCAUAUACAGGGUGGGGAAACUUAAAUUCCUGGAGGAAUUAAGAUGCUUUGAAGUUGGAAAAGAGACCGAGGGUUUUGAGCUAAGUCAACUAGGCAAUUUGACAGAGCUGGGAGGAUCGCUUGGCAUUUAUAAUCUUGAAAAGGUGCACAGAAAAGAUGAGGGGAAAGAGCUAAAAUUGAUUCACAAAAAACACCUUCAUAAGCUAACAUUACAAUGGGAUAAUAACCAAUGUGACAAAAAUCUAGCACAAGAACAAAACGUCAUUGAAAGCCUUGUACCCCACAAUAAUCUUCAAGACCUAAGCAUUAGAGGGCAUGGAGGUGCUAAUUGCCCAUCAUGGCUGGGAGGGUCCCUCUCGGUUGAAAACUUAGGAUCUCUUUCUCUAUGUGAUGUAUCCUGGAACACACUUCCACCUCUAGGGAAGUUCAGGUUCGUUGAUGAUCCUAGUGAAGAGUGUCAGAGUCAUGCCUCAAUCCAAUGCUUCCAAACUUUGAAAAGGGUAGAAUGAAUUAAUAUACAAAAAAUGGCAAAAUGGGUCGGAAACGGCAAAUGUCAUUUGUUCUCUCUUCUAGAAGAGAUAACUAUUAUAGGUUGCCUCCAACUCACGGAGUUGCCAUUUUCACAUCCUGCUCAUGAUCAAGCCAAGCAAGAGGAGAACAUGACUUGGUUUCCGAAACUAAUGAAGCUCAAUAUUACGGGCUGCCCCAAAUUGGCGUCAUUGCCUCCAAUCCCUUGGACUCAAGCUCCGUGCUCUGCUGAGAUAAGACGAGCAGGAUCAGUAUUUGAGAAGCUUGUUUACUCGAAGAACUACAAAUCGGAAUUGAGUUUGGAAGUUGAGGGAAAAGAUGGUCAGCAUGGUCUGUGGAAUGGGUUGGCUUUCCAUAAUCUAGCUGGUCUGAAAGAGCUGGAGGUGAACAACUGCCCUCCCCUGCCACUGAUCCACCUCCAAAAGCUAAAAUCUCUCAAGUCCCUCACGGUAUUCGAUAUGAGCAACUUGUUGCUGCUGUUUGAAUGUGAAAGCUACAAUACUGAAUGCCCGCUUCCAGUUGAACAAAUAAAGAUCUGGGGCUGUGGUGCUGACGGGAAGGAAAUGACACAACUGUUAUCUCAUUUCCCGAAGCUCACUGAGUUGGUACUGACAUGUUGUGAGAAGAUAACAGAGCUUGGCGUGGUGGAGCUUCAGACGGAAAUGACGACACCGUCAUCUUCAGGUAAUGAAAUUGAAAUUGAGCAUGCACAAGCUGGACACCAUCAGACAAGAGCAGAGGAAGUAGAAGAAGCAGUGGCAGGAGGAGAAGGUCUCCUGCUCUUGCCUCGGCAACUACAGGAGUUGAGCAUCUAUCACUGCAGCGAGCUGCGGUUGCUCUCCGAUUCACUUGGCAAGGACAAUGGUAACCCACGAGGAGGAGGGCUCCAGAGUCUCUCCUCCCUCCAGUCGUUGUUCAUAUUUGAUUGCCCCAGGUUCCUCUCGUCCUAUCCGUCUUCCGCCUCAUCUUGUUUUCCCUUCCCGACCUCCCUGCGAUGGCUCAGUCUGUCUCGCGUGGAGAGCAUGGAGACGCUGACUCCCCUCUCAAAUCUCAGCUCUCUCACCAGUUUAACCGUGUAUAAUUGUGGGGAUCUAAGAGGCGAGGGUUUAUGGCCUCUCGUUGCCCGGGGCCGCCUCACAGAAUUAGGCAUCUUUGGAACCCGAAAAUUCUUCACUGGUUCUGAGCCCUCACGGCUGCAUGGCCAACAGAUUCCUUCCUCUUCAUCCAAAUUCGAACAUCUCACUACAGAUGACUUGACGGGAGUCCUUACCGCGCCCAUCUGCAAACUCCUCUCUUCCUCCCUUACCGAAUUAAGCUUUUGGGAGAAUAAAGAGGUGGAGCGCUUCACAGAGGAGCACGAGGAGGCCCUUCACCUCCUCAAUUCUCUCCAGGAACUCGUUUUUUGGGAAAGUGAGAAGCUGCAGCGCCUCCCUGCAGGGUUAACCCAGCUUGCCAGCCUCAAGAUAUUACGGAUUUCGGAGUGUCCAGCCAUCAGAUCGCUGCCCAAGGACGGACUGCCAAGUUCUUUGCAAGAACUAGAGAUCAAAGACUGUCCUGCCAUCAAAUCUCUGCCCAAGGACGGCCUGCCAAGUUCACUACGGAAAUUAGAAGUUUGUAAUGGCAUCAGCGAGGAGCUUAAAAGGCAGUGCCGCAAGUUAAAAGGAACCAUUCCAGUAAUCAAAGACUACCACGACUACGACUAA